AUGCCGCUGGGGCUGAUACUGAGCUCGAUCGGGAGGUCGAUGCGGCGGAAGCGGACGUCCUCGCUCAACAUCCUCUCCUCCAAGAGGGCGCCCCGGGAUUACUACAAGGGCAAGAACUGCAAGCCCACCGGGUUCCACACCCGCAAAGGUGGCUAUGUGAUGGUGGAUGCAAAGUUACCAAGAUUCGUGGUCCCUGACUUGACUGAUUUUAAGUUGAAGCCAUAUGUAUCACAAUGUGCCAGGGACGAACUCGGAGCCUCCUCAACUGAAAACAAGAACUGA
rnacentral:rRNA from 1 species